AAACUCUUGUCUUUUAGUGUAUUAUCUGAGUGGCAUAAGCAAAAUAAAUCAAAACUUUCAGCAACGGAUCUCUUGGUUCUGGCAUCGAUGAAGAACGCAGCGAAAUGCGAUAAGUAAUGUGAAUUGCAGAAUUCAGUGAAUCAUCGAAUCUUUGAACGCACAUUGCGCCCGCCAGUACUCUGGCGGGCAUGCCUGUCCGAGCGUCAUUU
rnacentral:rRNA from 1 species